rnacentral:rRNA from 1 species
AUGGAGGAGAGGCUGUAUGAUGCUGGCGAUGGCUCCGCUGGCAAUCCGAGCGCUGAGGAAGCCGCUGGCAACUCGAGAGGCGAGGACGUCGCUGCCAACUCGAGAGGCGAGGACGACUUCAGGAGCUGCUGUGGGGACGAGGAGGAGUGGGAGGACACGGAGGAGUCCUUCAUGGCCGGCGUCUCCGAAGCGGAGCUCGACGAGACUUCAGUGCGGCUCUUCUUCAAGGGCGUGUCGAGCUCGGACGCGGAUGGGAAGAAGCUGUCCGGGAUCGGCGUGGUGAUGGAGAGGACACCUGGGGUGCCUCUUCAUAGGGUGCAGAAGAAGCUGGAUUUCUAUGUGGAUGAGCUGGUGGCUGAGCACUUGGCACUCAUGGAUGGCCUCUUGGUGGCAUUGCAGAAGGGCAUACGCAAGAUCUUUGCCUUCACUAAUUCGGAGAAGCUAUACUUCCAGAUUGCAGAAGCUGAAAUUCUUGAAGACCAGCUUUUGGUAGCUUUAGGACACAGGAUUCUUGAACUGGUUGAGAAGCUGGAGGAUUUUGAUCUAAUAUUGCUUCCUAGCUUUGAACUUGAGAGGCCAUUAAAGUUGGCCAAAGAAGCAAUAGGCAUCGUGUAUGUAUCUCCCUAUGAGGUUGCCACCUGCCCGCUAUGCUGCGAGGAAAGACGAGGUUCUCAUAUGAUCAAGGUGGGCUGUUCCCACAAAUUUUGCUACAGUUGCUUGAUUGUGUAUGUUGAAGGCAGGCUGCAUGCCUCGAAGCUGCCUAUUAGAUGCCCACAGUUAAGGUGUAAAUAUCAUAUUUCGGCUGGUGAGUGCAAGUCAUUCCUUCCGGUGAGCAGCUAUGAGUCCCUGGAGAGCGCUUUCGCGGUGGGCGGCAGCACCUUUGACAUGGAGGGGUUCUAUUGCCCCUAUCCAAACUGUUCGGUUUCGUUAGACCUCAGUCAGCACUUCUCCAGGGCGAGCUCGUCCAGUCAGUCGGACCUCAAUUGCAUCGAGUGCCCGGAAUGCCACAGAGAUAUCUGUAUCAACUGUGGAGUGCCAUGGCACAUCAUGAUGGGGUGUGAUGAGUACCAGAGCCUGCCUGUCGAGGAAAGAGGUGCAGGAGACCUAUCUUUGCAUCGGCUAGCACAAAACAAUAGUUGGAGGCGUUGUCAGAGAUGUCGACGGAUGAUUGAACUAACGCAGGGCUGCUUCCACAUGACUUGCUGGUGUGGCCAUGAGUUCUGCUACUCCUGUGGCGCCGAGUACAACAACGGCGUACAGGCAUGCCAGUGCGUAUUCUGGGAUGAAGACAACGCUGAGCCCUCGGCGGCGCAGUCCUGCCAGGCAUCUGAGAUCUGGGCGUGGGACACCUUCGACUGCAUGCCCACGGCCGCCGACGGCUACUCGGAGCAGGAGCGGGCGCAGCUGGCGCUCAUCCAGCGGUUCCUGGCGGGGGGUUUCAGCCUGAGCGGCGACCACCACCACCUGAGCCAGCAGUCGUCGCCGCCCCACUGCGCGGCGGACUCGUACAUUGUCGACACCAUGAAGGACCUCCACCAGCUGCCGUGGCUCGAGCGGUUUGUGUCGGUGAUGAGCGACACCUACAACGACGACUACAUCCAGUGA